GAGGAUGUAGCUUAGUGGUAGAGUGCUUGCCUAGCAGGUAUGUGGUCCUGGGUUCCAUCCUCA
rnacentral:tRNA from 1 species